rnacentral:rRNA from 1 species
CGACGUGAGCAAUCUGCCUUUAAGAGGGGGAUAACAGUCGGAAACGGCUGCUAAUACCGCAUAAAGCAUCGAAACCGCAUGAUUUUGAUGCCAAAGGAGCAAUCCGCUUUUAGAUGAGCUCGCGUCUGAUUAGCUGGUUGGCGGGGUAACGGCCCACCAAGGCGACGAUCAGUAGCCGGACUGAGAGGUUGAACGGCCACAUUGGGACUGAGACACGGCCCAG